rnacentral:rRNA from 1 species
CAGAAGUUAGCCGGNGCUUUUUCUAGUCGGUACCGUCAUGAAAUCAUAGCUAUUUACUAUGACUCUUUCUUUCCGACUAAAAGAGCUUUACAACCCGAAGGCCUUCUUCACUCACGCAGGCAUGGCUGGAUCAGGCUUUCGCCCAUUAGUCCAAAAUUCCCCACUAGCUGCCUCCCGUAGGAAU